UGCCGGUUCGAGUUCCGUCAAUGCCAAUAGGGACUCUGCUCUGUUGGGCCCUUGAGCAAGGCCCUUAACCUGCAAUUGCUGAGCACUUUGAGUAGCGAGAAAAGUGCAAUAUAAAUGCAAUGAAUUAUUAUAAUUAAUAUAACCUGAAUGGUAGUCUAGUGUUUGAAUGAAUGCAUAUUGUUGUAUAGGUUCUGAUACAGAGAUAAGGUGCUAAAAUAAUAAGUAAUACUUACAGCGUACGGUCCUGUAGUGUUUUCGCCUACGUUUUAUAUCUUUUUCAGUGAUAUUUCCAUGAACUUUGAUAUGCAAGGGGUGAUCAAAACCUUGUGGAUUUGUUCUGUAACUCGCCGCAAGCUCCCAGACUCUCUCUAAAGCAAAGUGUCACAGAGUGGUAGAACUUACUGCAAAAUAUCUCAUGACUCAUAUUGACAUAAAAAAAAAUCUCAUGAAUCGGCAGUUCAUUUACAAGCAGUCUAAAGGCCAUGACACAUUUGAUGACUUUUCUAGUAUUAGCUUUCAUUUAUUUAAUCUUAAUAAGUUGGAGACACUCGGUGGCCCGCUCACACAGUCUCAUAAUGUGACAUACCCGUGACUAACUCCAGUUAAUCUGCGACUCGCUCCUCAGACACAUUUGAUUUUGUCUUUAGUCAUAGGGGUGGCUCUGCGUGUGUGAGAGGAGACAAACCAGUGAGUGCUCAUCCGUUAGUGUCCUGCAUAGAAUGCAGUGACAAGGAAUAACAAACACCGGGGUUUUGGACCUCAGAAAAAGAAGAGAAGCCUCACAACCUAAACUUCUUUGGGAUGUGGGAAAAAAGAACUGGAGCACCUGAGGGAAAACCUCAAUAAAAUCUUUUUUUUUAAAUAAAAUUAAACAGUUCAGUGCAGAGCCAAAUUGACUGACUUGAGAUCAACAGGUCAUUCAUGAGUUCCUCUUUGUAGAGGAGUCACCUGUCGGGGAUUGGUGGGCAUUGCGCAUUCAGUCCUUCCCUUUUGUGUGUGGAUCUGUUGCCACUCAAUGCUGGUUAUGUAGUAAAAGUCACACCAGGAGGUAAAAGUAGGGGGCGCUCUAAGAGUGGUGUUGCUUCAGCACUGCAUUAGUUCCCUUGUGCAGUGGCCACGAUUUAGAGCUCCUGAAAUCUGUUGAACUUCUGAUUUGUUUGUUUGUUUUGUUUGUAAUUUUAAAUCUUGACCUGUGUGCUCCAUUCCUUGUUCUGCUUUUCCUUUAAUGACAAUCGGCUUGUUUUUCUGGAUUCUCUUUGUUUCUUUGCUCUUUAUGGAAUUAUUACUGAAUCUUACUGCCUGCUAAUGAAUACCCUUCUGCCUGCUUAUGACCAGGCUUAUUGGAAAAACAAAAAUGAUUUGUUUAUUAAAAACCUUUAAAGUUAA